GACGAACGCUGGCGGCGUGCUUAACACAUGCAAGUCGAGCGGUAAGGCCCUUUCGGGGGUACACGAGCGGCGAACGGGUGAGUAACACGUGGGUGACCUGCCCUCAGCUCUGGGAUAAGCCUGGGAAACUGGGUCUAAUACUGGAUAUGACUCCACGGUGCAUGUCGUGGGGUGGAAAGCCUUGUGCGGCUGAGGAUGGGCCCGCGGCCUAUCAGCUUGUUGGGGGGUGAUGGCCUACCAAGGCGACGACGGGUAGCCGGCCUGAGAGGGCGACCGGCCACACUGGGACUGAGACACGGCCCAGACUCCUACGGGGGCAGCAGUGGGGAAUCUUGCGCAAUGGGCGAAAGCCUGACGCAGCGACGCCGCGUGAGGGAUGACGGCCUGGU
rnacentral:rRNA from 1 species